GUGCACCAGGCGCGAAAACUCCGCAAUGCGCGAAAGCGUGACGGGGGAACCCCAAGUGCCGUUGGUCUUCUGAUCGACGGCUUUUGUGGAGUCUAGGAAGCUCCACGAAUAAGGGCUGGGUAAGUCGGGUGCCAGCCGCCGCGGUAAUACCCGCAGCCCAAGUGGUGGUCGCGAUUAUUGGGCCUAAAGCGCUCGUAGCCGGACUAGCAAGUCCCUUGUGAAAUCGGGCGGCCUAACCGUUCGGCUUGCAAGGGAUACUGCUGGCCUUGAGGCCGGGAGACGCCGAGGGUACUCUGGGGGUAGCGGUGAAAUGCUGUAAUCCUCGGGGGACCACCGGUGGCGAAGGCGUCCCACUGGAACGGCCCUGACGGUGAGGAACGAAACCUAGGGGAGCGAGCCGGAUUAGAUACCCGGGUAGUCC
rnacentral:rRNA from 1 species